rnacentral:rRNA from 1 species
CGUGGCGGUUUAGUGCGAUGGAAACACCUCUUACCAUCCCGAACAGAGAAGUUAAGCGUCGUAGCGCCGAUGAUACUCUUUUAGGGGAAAGUAGGUGACUGCCACGU